rnacentral:piRNA from 1 species
GGGAUGUGCGGUUUACCUAGGACCAGGCCU